UGGGGGAUAUUGCACAAUGGGCGAAAGCCUGAUGCAGCGACGCCGCGUGGGGGAUGAAGGCUUUCGGGUUGUAAACCUCUUUCGCUAUCGAACAAGGCCCGCCUAGGGUGGGUUGAGGGUAGGUGGAGAAGAAGCGCCGGCUAACUACGUGCCAGCAGCCGCGGUAAUACGUAGGGCGCGAGCGUUGUCCGGAAUUAUUGGGCGUAAAGGGCUUGUAGGCGGCUUGUUGCGCCUGCUGUGAAAACGCGGGGCUUAACUUCGCGCGUGCAGUGGGUACGGGCAGGCUUGAGUGGGGUAGGGGUGGCUGGAAUUCCAGGUGUAGCGGUGGAAUGCGCAGAUAUCUGGAGGAACACCGAUGGCGAAGGCAGGUCACUGGGCCAUUACUGACGCUGAGGAGCGAAAGCAUGGGUAGCGAACAGG
rnacentral:rRNA from 1 species